rnacentral:rRNA from 1 species
AAUAGAUACCCAGGUAGUCCACGCCGUAAACGAUGGGUGCUAGGUGUGGGAGGUGUCGACUCCUUCCGUGCCGUAGCUAACGCAUUAAGCACCCCCGCCUGGGGAGUACGGCCGCAAGGCUAAAACUCAAAGGAAUUGACGGGGCCCCGCACAAGCAGCGGAGCAUGUGGUUUAAUUCGAUGCAACGCGAAGAACCUUACCAGGGCUUGACAUGGUCGGGAAAACCGUAGAAAUACGGUCCUCCUUCGGGACUCGAUCACAGGUGGUGCAUGGCUGUCGUCAGCUCGUGUCGUGAGAUGUUGGGUUAAGUCCCGCAACGACCGCAACCCCUGUCCCAUGUUGCCAGCGAGUAAUGUCGGGGACUCAUGGGAGACUGCCGGUGACAAAUCGGAGGAAGGUGGGGAUGAUGUCAAGUCAUCAUGCCCCUUAUGUCCUGGGCUACACACGUGCUACAUUGGCCGGUACAAAGGGCUGCAAACCUGCGAGGGUGAGCGAAUCCCAAAAAGCCGGUCCCGGUUCGGAUUGAAGGCUGAAACUCG